AUUGAACGCUGGCGGCAUGCCUUACACAUGCAAGUCGAACGGCAGCACGGGAGCAAUCCUGGUGGCGAGUGGCGAACGGGUGAGUAAUGUAUCGGAACGUACCUUUCAGUGGGGGAUAACGUAGCGAAAGUUACGCUAAUACCGCAUAUUCUGUGUGCAGGAAAGCAGGGGAUCGCAAGACCUUGCGCUGAUUGAGCGGCCGAUAUCAGAUUAGCUAGUUGGUGAGGUAAAGGCUCACCAAGACGACGAUCUGUAGCGGGUCUGAGAGGAUGAUCCGCCACACUGGAACUGAGACACGGUCCAGACUCCUACGGGAGGCAGCAGUGGGGAAUUUUGGACAAUGGGGGCAACCCUGAUCCAGCCAUGCCGCGUGAGUGAAGAAGGCCUUCGGGUUGUAAAGCUCUUUCGGCCGGGAAGAAAUCGCAUGGGUUAAUACCCUGUGCGGAUGACGGUACCGGCAUAAGAAGCACCGGCUAACUACGUGCCAGCAGCCGCGGUAAUACGUAGGGUGCGAGCGUUAAUCGGAAUUACUGGGCGUAAAGCGUGCGCAGGCGGUUUUGUAAGACAGGCGUGAAAUCCCCGGGCUCAACCUGGGAACUGCGCUUGUGACUGCAAGGCUAGAGUAUGGCUGAGGGGGGUGGAAUUCCACGUGUAGCAGUGAAAUGCGUAGAGAUGUGGAGGAACACCAAUGGCGAAGGCAGCCCCCUGGGCCAAUACUGACGCUCAUGCACGAAAGCGUGGGUAGCAAACAGGAUUAGAUACCCUGGUAGUCCACGCCCUAAAC
rnacentral:rRNA from 1 species